AGGGUUUGAUCCUGGCUCAGAGCGAACGUUAGCUGUGUGGAUUAGGCAUGCAAGUCGUGCGCGAAAGUCUUCGGACGAGUAAAGCGGCGUAAGGGUGAGUAACACGUAACCAAUCUACCCCUUAGAUCGGAAUAACCACUGGAAACGGUGGGUAAUGCCGAAUGGUCCUUCUAGGAGGCAUCUCCAUGAAGGUAAACGGUGGCCUUUGUGCCAUUGCUAAGGGAGGGGGUUGCGGCCUAUCAGCUUGUUGGUGAGGUAACGGCUCACCAAGGCUAUGACGGGUAGCGGGUCUGAGAGGAUGAUCCGUCACACUGGGACUGAGACACUGCCCAGACUCCUACGGGAGGCUGCAGUCGAGAAUCUUCCGCAAUGGGCGAAAGCCUGACGGAGCGACACAGCGUGUGGGAUGAAGGCUCUAGGGUUGUAAACCACUGUCACACUUUAGGAACCGCGUGUCAUUAAUACCGGCACGUCUGACCAAGGUGAAAGGAAGCGCCGGCUAACUCCGUGCCAGCAGCCGCGGUAAUACGGAGGGCGCAAACGUUGCUCGGAAUCACUGGGCAUAAAGGGCAUGUAGGCGGCCCGAUCAGUCAGAUGUGAAAUCCUCCGGCUCAACCGGAGAACUGCAUUUGAUACUAUCGAGCUCGAGGAUGGUUGGGGUAAGUGGAACUCCUGGUGGAGCGGUGAAAUGCGUAGAUAUCAGGAGGAACACCAGUGGCGAAAGCGACUUACUGGACCAUUUCUGACGCUGAGGUGCGAAAGCUAGGGUAGCGAACGGGAUUAGAUACCCCGGUAGUCCUAGCCGUAAACGAUGGGCACUAGGCAAUGGGUUUCCCUAUGGGACUCAUUGCCGUAGCAAAUGUGUUAAGUGCCCCGCCUGGGGAGUACGCUCGCAAGGGUAAAACUCAAAGGAAUUGACGGGGGAUCACACAAGCGGUGGAGCAUGUGGUUUAAUUCGAAGCAACGCGAAGAACCUUACCUGGCCUUGACAUGCAUGGAUUAGCUCUGUGAAAGCGGAGUGACAGCUCUUCGGAGUCGGAACAUAGACAGGUGUUGCAUGGCUGUCGUCAGCUCGUGUCGUGAGAUGUUGGGUUAAGUCCCGUAACGAGCGAAACCCUUAUCGUUAGUUGCCAGCGCGUAAUGGCGGGAACUCUAGCGAGACUGCCGGUGUUAAACCGGACGAAGGUGGGGAUGACGUCAAGUCCGC
rnacentral:rRNA from 1 species